ACUAGACCUGGUGGCGCCCGCCUGUAAUCCCAGCGGCGUGGUAGGCUAGGGAAGGAGAAUAAGGACUGGGGAUGCAGCUCAGUGGUUAAGCACCCCUGGGUUCAAUCCCUAGUACCAAAAAAGUAUCAUGAAAUGAAUGAAAAAUUAGCCUAUAAUAGGUUUAGUAAAAUGAAACAGUUGAUAUGAAAAUACAUCAUAAAGGGUUUUUUGUUUGGUACUGAGAAUUGAACCCAAGAGUGCUCAUCACUGAGCUACAUCCCAGUCCCCCCCCCCUUU
rnacentral:sRNA from 1 species